CCUACGGGAGGCAGCAGUGAGGAAUAUUGGUCAAUGGACGAGAGUCUGAACCAGCCAAGUAGCGUGAAGGAUGACUGCCCUAUGGGUUGUAAACUUCUUUUAUAUGGGAAUAAAACGUUCCACGUGUGGGGUUUUGUAUGUACCAUAUGAAUAAGGAUCGGCUAACUCCGUGCCAGCAGCCGCGGUAAUACGGAGGAUCCGAGCGUUAUCCGGAUUUAUUGGGUUUAAAGGGAGCGUAGGUGGAUUGUUAAGUCAGUUGUGAAAGUUUGCGGCUCAACCGUAAAAUUGCAGUUGAAACUGGCAGUCUUGAGUGCGGGAGAGGUGGGCGGAAUGCGUGGUGUAGCGGUGAAAUGCUUAGAUAUCACGAAGAACUCCGAUUGCGAAGGCAGUUCACUGGACCGCAACUGACGCUGAGGCUCGAAAGUGUGGGUAUCAAACAGGAUUAGAUACCCUAGUAGUC
rnacentral:rRNA from 1 species